rnacentral:rRNA from 1 species
AUGAACGCUAGCUACAGGCUUAACACAUGCAAGUCGAGGGCAGCAUGAACUUAGCUUGCUAAGUUUGAUGGCGACCGGCGCACGGGUGAGUAACGCGUAUGCAACUUACCUAUCAGAGGAGAAUAGCUCAUCGAAAGAUGAAUUAAUGCUCCCAUAAAAACAGGGGUCCCGCAUGGGAAUAUUUGUUAAAAGAUUCAUCGCUGAUAGAUAGGCAUGCGUUCCAUUAGGCAGUUGGCGGGGUAACGGCCCACCAAACCGACGAUGGAUAGGGGUUCUGAGAGGAAGGUCCCCCACAUUGGUACUGAGACACGGACCAAACUCCUACGGGAGGCAGCAGUGAGGAAUAUUGGUCAAUGGCCGAGAGGCUGAACCAGCCAAGUCGCGUGAAGGAUGAAGGAUCUAUGGUUUGUAAACUUCUUUUAUACGGGAAUAAAGUGAGUCACGUGUGAUUUUUGUAUGUACCGUAUGAAUAAGCAUCGGCUAACUCCGUG